UACGUAGGUGGCGAGCGUUAUCCGGAUUUACUGGGUGUAAAGGGAGCGCAGGCGGGAGAACAAGUCAGCUGUGAAAUCUAUGGGCUCAACCCAUAAACUGCAGUUGAAACUGUUUUUCUUGAGUGGAGUAGAGGCAAGCGGAAUUCCGAGUGUAGCGGUGAAAUGCGUAGAUAUUCGGAGGAACACCAGUGGCGAAGGCGGCUUGCUGGGCUCUAACUGACGCUGAGGCUCGAAAGUGUGGGGAGCAAAC
rnacentral:rRNA from 1 species